UACGUAGGGAGCAAGCGUUGUCCGGAAUCGAUUGGGCGUAAAGCGCGCGUAGGUGGCCCCGUAAGUCCGCUGUGAAAGUCAAAGGCUCAACCUGUGAAUGCCGCUGGAAACUGUCUGGCUAGAGUCCGGAAGGGGCGAGUGGGAAUUCCUGGUGUAGCGGUGAAAUGCGCAGAUAUCAGGAGGAACACCAAUGGCGAAGGCAGCUCGCUGGGACGGUACUGACGCUGAGGCGCGAAAGCGUGGGGAGCAAACAGG
rnacentral:rRNA from 1 species